UAACUCUGGUUUCCCUUCAAAACGCAUAAAUCUUUCGCCUUUUACUAAAGAUUUCCGUGGAGGGGAACACUCAAAUGAGUCUUCUCGUAUUUUUGAUAGCUCUACUUCGGUAGAGUA